rnacentral:rRNA from 1 species
CUAAAUAGGGACUAGUAUGAACGGCUAAAUGAGGAUUAAACUGUCUCUUGUAGCCAACCCAUGAAACUGAUCUCAUAGUCCAAAAGCUAUGAUAACCACACUAGACGAGAAGACCCUGUGGAGCUUCAAAACCCAAGGCAAACCUAUGCCCCCUCGGUUUUUAGUUGGGGCAACUUCGGAACAAAAACCAACCUCCGACAAACACAAAAUCAAAACCAACAAGUUAAAACUUAACCACUUGACCCAAUAGAUAACCUCUAUUUGAUCAAUGAACUAAGUUACCCCAGGGAUAACAGCGCCAUCCUCUUUCAGAGUCCCUAUCGACAAGAGGGUUUACGACCUCGAUGUUGGAUCAGGACACCCUAAUGGUGCAGCCGCUAUUAAAGGUUCGUUUGUUCAA